rnacentral:rRNA from 1 species
AUGGAGGGGCUCAGCGCAGGGGUGCCAAUGCUGUGUUGGCCCUUCUUCGCGGAGCAGCAGACCAAUUCCCGCUAUGCGUGCAUGGAGUGGGGUGUUGGGAUGGAAGUCGGCGACGACGUACGUCGUGAGGUGGUCGAGGAGAGGAUACGAGAGGUGAUGGGAGUAGGAGAGGCAGGGAGGGAGAUGAGGCGGAAGGCGGUGGAGUGGAGUGAGAUCGCCGUUCGUGCAACCGCACAACAUGGUGGCAGGUCGUUGGCCAACCUCGAGAGUCUGCUCAAGGAUGUACUAUUGAGUGCGGGUAAGAAUGUUGGCUAG